rnacentral:rRNA from 1 species
GGUUAAGUUAGAAAGGGCGCACGGUGGAUGCCUUGACACUAGGAGUCGAUGAAGGACGGGACUAACGCCGAUAUGCUUCGGGGAGCUGUAAGUAAGCUUUGAUCCGAAGAUUUCCGAAUGGGGAAACCCACCAUACGUAAUGGUAUGGUAUCCUUAUCUGAAUACAUAGGGUAAGGAAGACAGACCCAGGGAACUGAAACAUCUAAGUACCUGGAGGAAGAGAAAGCAAAUGCGAUUUCCUGAGUAGCGGCGAGCGAAACGGAACAUAGCCCAAACCAAGAGGCUUGCCUCUUGGGGUUGUAGGACAUUCUAUACGGAGUUACAAAGGAACGAGGUAGACGAAGCGACCUGGAAAGGUCCGUCGUAGAGGGUAACAACCCCGUAGUCGAAACUUCGUUCUCUCUUGAAUGUAUCCUGAGUACGGCGGAACACGUGAAAUUCCGUCGGAAUCUGG